CUUUCCUAAUUAUUGACUCAUCAAAAUCAUUCCCGUAACUAAUAAGUUUAUCGGAGAUUCUCGGAAACAAUUAGCAGCGAGAGAAUCAAACUGCCUGUCCCUUCUGAAGAAUCAAAGAAGCAGAAAUGAGAAGAGGGCAUUCUUCUGGGAAUUACAGAAACCCAUGUUUGACUAUGCACCAGCCAUGGGCUUCGUUGCUGGUUUAUGGUAUCAAGCGCAUCGAAGGCCGGACAUGGGCCGCUCCUAUUAGAGGGCGCCUUUGGAUUCAUGCCGCUAGUAAGGUUCCUGAUGAGGCUACAAUCAAAGCAAUGGAGGACUUCUACAGGGAAAUUUAUGCAGUGGAUGGAAUCACUGAUCUUAGAUUUCCAGAACAUUAUCCAGUUUCAAGACUUUUAGGGUGUGUUGAAGUGGUUGGAUGUGUUAGACGUGAAGAACUAGCAUGCUGGGAGAUGGUACCUGAAGGGGUGAGGCUGGAAGCACAAACUGAUUUAUGUUGGCUUUGCGAGCAGCCACAGAAAUUGUUAAUUCCGUUUGAGAUGCGUGGGUACCAAGGUGUUUAUAACUUGGAAAAGAAGAUAUAUGAAGCUGCCAUUAGAGGUCUUACCCCGGUUGAAGGUCCCCUUCCAGUAAAAUUUUUACUUCCAAAUCCACAAGAUCCAUUUUCAUUGAAACCAGGGUCUAUCUCUGCAAAUGUCCCAGAAACUAGAACUUCUGAACUGGAGAGAUCUUCAAGUCUCACAGCAGCCAUAGCUGGUGCACGAGCAGCAGCUACACAGUUCUCCAAGAGAGUUCAAGAUUUUGAAACAACUCCCCAAACCAAUACAGCACAAUCCGUAAGGACACUUCCAUUAAAGUGUGAAUCUUUUGAAGAGGAUACAACGCCAUCUGCUAACUUAAGUGAGACCUCUAAUAAGGGGGCAUUAACAUCAAAUAACAAGGAGAAAAUAAGUCCCAUUAAGUCUGAGGGAAUCACCAGCCCCAGUCAACCUUCUUCUGGAGGUUUGAGACCUCAUCCUGGUGCACCUUCUAAGGGCAGCAUUUCACCUAGAGGGGAGCACAUGAAGCGGAAGAGAGACUGUCCGCAUGAGUAAUGCAAACAUUGGUGAUGAUCCAAUGCCCGAAAGCCCUCUUGGUUGAAAACAAAAGGCUCCUCAAAGUGGAAAAUAGGCCUUUUCAUCUGAUAUUUGUCAGCUGUGGGUUUAUUAAGCGUAGGCUAGCUCUAGUCACCUAAUUUGGAUCCUCUUUGAUGUAACCUAAUAUUGAUGGUCAGGAUGCAAUAAUAAACCUGAUUUUUGCUGCGGCGGUGAGAGCACUGAAGCCGUCAUGAGAUUCAUAUAUUCUUGGAAGGUGGAACUCUGUUGCAAAACAUGACCCUUUCGUUUGCAGCACCAAGCUGUUAUGUCAAAUUGGAAUGCUUUUCUACAUGGCCUGCAUUUUAUUGUAUAUGCAAUAUGUAUACUGGGAGUGUUUGGGUAGAUCUUGAUGUUAGUUUAGGGGAAUGGAUGAGGUAGGUAACUGCAUGAUUGUCAAAUUUGAAGUAAAUGCAAUAUUUUCUUAUUUUCUUCUUCUUGUGUUUGUGUUUUUCAAGUAUUAUUUAUAUCUAGUGGAGUGGGUGGAUAUUAAUUGAAUUGAAAUGUGUAUCUUCUGACGGACACGAGUUCACCACAUGAUACUUGUUUUAUUUAUAUAAAUCGAGCAGGAGCAA